UGGGCUGUUUCAUCCACUGGGACCUUUUCCUACGCAGCCUAGCAUCAGUUAAGCUCAUGUUUAUAAAUGAUUUAUAAAUAUUGAAAAUAUCUUUACAUUUUGAGGGACUCAAAAAUUAUAUUCACGGCACUUAAUGUAAGCUUAGCACCGGUACUCAUUCGAUUAUUUCUCCAUAUGCAGUGCUAUAGGUACAACAUAUUGAAGAGCAUGAUUGUCAAUUCUCUCACACAAAAGGGGUGGUGCCUGCAAUUGAAAUAAUCGCAGGUUGUACAAAUAUCAUUUCCCUUUAUCCAUUUCUAUGUACAUAUAAUUCUCAUCAUUUAUGAAGACGUCCUAAACAUGCAAUCGCAAGCCCACAUUUCUGAGAGGGCUGUAUUUGUGCUGUGCUGACAUCGUUUCCCUUUCUUCAUUUCUAUGUAUAUCUAAUUCUCAUCAUUUAUGAGACGUCGUAAACAUGCUUCAUUGAGUCAACUUUUAAGCUUCUGACCAAGUGUUCUAUAAACUGCAGGACAUUUCUUCAUUCCAGAAUACAACAAUUGCAUAACUUUCUUGCCCGACUCUCUCUGUUUCUGCAUUACUUUUUUGUCGUCCAUGCCACCCUCCAUUUUGAAGAUGAAGAAAGCAGCCAGUUUUGCAUUCUUCUUGGCAGUGGUGGUUCUUUUUGUUUGCAAAUUACAUGCGACGGAGGCUAUCAAUUGCAGCCCGCUGGAGCUGAGUUCGUGAGUGUUGGCAAUAAUGUUGUCUUUACCACCGUCGGAUGAAGAGCAGGAACGUUGCCUUUGUGAGUAUUAAAGAGAUAAUAUAUUAACUCUCCCAAUGCCAGGAGGGUUGCUAACAUCUGUAGUGUUCCCGCUCCUAUGUGCUAAUCUGAAAACUUCACCUCAAGCGUUAAGAGUGCUACAUUGGAAAAGGAUGAAUGGAUUUGCUGGCUUCGUAUCUCCAUUAAUCAUCUCAUAAAAU
rnacentral:lncRNA from 1 species